GCCGCCGCCGCCGGGCACCCAGCCCCAGGGGGGCGGGCUGGAGGGAGGGGGCGGGCCCCGGGCGCCGGCCGGGGGACCCCCGCAACCAUGGCGGGCGGGGAGUGGGCUGCCCAGCCGCUUCACCUGCCGCAGAGGGGGCGGCCGGCGCCGCUUCACCUGCCGGAGCGGGAGGCCACCGACGCGAGGCCGAGGCGGCGGCGCGCUCGGCGGCGCCUCCGGGUCCUAGAACCGCAUCCUCCCGCUCGCCUCGGGCGACGGAUUGGCCGGGUCUGGGUGAAGGGGGUCACGGCCUGGGGAUCGGAGGGGCACAUCUCUUCCGCACCGAGGAUCUCAGCGACUACGAGCACGGCUCGGAGACCCAUGGUGGUGCAGCGUUGGCGCGCCAGGGCUGCGUUCCCGUCUCAGGUCCCGGACUGAGAAGAGCCACUGACAAGACUUUAAGCAAGAGACGGAAAGUUAACAUCUAAUCUGGAAGAAGACCCUGGAGGGAGCCAGCCCCUUCCCCCAGGCUGAGCUUGUUUAAGCCUUUCUUCUGCCAAGGUCACCAGCACCCCAGAUGGGUGAGAGAUGUGAUCACUGGUUUCGUGGCCUGACCAAGGACCUCCAAGGCCUCAUGUGGAAUGCAGCCUCUGAGAAAAGCACUUCUCACCACUCAAAACCCACCGAAGCAUGCCCAGCCCUGACAGGGGCUUCUAGGAAUGCAAAACGAGCUGUCUCUGCAGCCACGAGCAGAGCUAACUGCAUAAUAAGCACACUGGAGGGGAUUCACAGGCUUUGAGGAUUGUUUUGAAGGAAGAGAAAUAGGUCCUACUUCUGUGGGAGACUGAUUAUUCCUUUAACUCCAAUCA
rnacentral:antisense_RNA from 1 species